UUUAAAGUCUAACCUGCCCCAUGAGGAUUUAAAUGGCCGCGGUAUAUUGACCGUGCAAAGGUAGCAUAAUAAUUUGUUUUUUAAUUGGAAGCUAGAAUGAAUGGUUGGACGAGAAAUUUACUGUCUCUGGUUUAUUUUAUUAGAAUUUUAUUUUUAAGUAAAAAAGCUUAAAUUUUUUUAAAAGACGAGAAGACCCUAUAGAGUUUUAUAAUUUAUUUUAUUAAUUUUUUUGGUAUUAUUGAUUUUUUAUGAUUUUAUUUAUUUUGUUGGGGUGAUGGGAAAAUUUGAUUAACUUUUUUUUUUGCUUUCAUUUAUUUAUGAUUUUUUGAUCCGUUGUUUACGAUUAUAAGAUUAAAUUACCUUAGGGAUAACAGCGUAAUUUUUCUUUAGAGUUCUUAUUGAAAGAAAAGUUUGCGACCUCGAUGUUGGAUUAAAAUUAAUUUUUGGCGUAGAAGCUUUUAAAUUGGGUCUGUUCGACCUUUGAAAUUUUACA
rnacentral:rRNA from 1 species